GAGGAGAGCCACUACAGAAAUGUCUCAUGACUUUUUUAUGUGUACCAUCCUUUAAUAGAUCUCAUACACCAGAAUUCAGAUCAUGAAUGACUGACAGAAUAUUUUGUUGGGCAGUCCUGAUUUAAAACUAAGACUGGCUUGUGGUUAAAUGAAUAUGUUCAGUUUUUGAUUUUAAUAGUAACUCCAAUUCAGUAAAUGCUAUCACUGUUUACCCCUUCUAAAGAUAUGAUUAGACUUCGUUAGUAAUGUUCAACUUUUCACAAAGAUGGUGAGUGCCAUCUUAAAACUUACUGGAGAUUGGUUUUAUAUUUAGAUUUCUAUAACUGGUUAUGUGAAUAUAUUUAAAUACUGGGGAAAUUCCUACACUGUCUUAGAACCAAGCAAGAUUCACCUGUGUUUUGUGUUCAUUUGCCUCUUAAAGGCAAGGGUUGAAGAUAAGUAAGGGAGCAAUGUCUAUAGUUUUGGCCUUAACUAUAACAAUCUAAUUAUAAUUCCCUGUAUUUAAAAUGGUUCCUUUUACUUAUUGAAAGGCAUUUUAGUGUGGUUUAUGUGUAAUAUUAAAGAUUAUUCAACACCUCUCACAUCUUAUAGAUCUAUAAGGUCACAUGCUUUUAAAAUAGUAGCAAGUUAAACUUCACUCUUGAAUUCUUUACAAUCUAAGUCAAACUAGGUUAUAAUUUAGGAUUGUCUUUAAACAGCCAUUCAGAAACAUAAAACUGUAGAACUGUGUAUUUGUGAUUGGGAAUGGUGCUUUUGCCAACUUAAAAGGAUUAAAGUAAUGGAGAUAUACACAAAUUUUAAAAUUAUGUGUGAUUA
rnacentral:lncRNA from 1 species